rnacentral:tRNA from 1 species
GGGAGUAUAGCUCAGUUGGUAGAGCGUCUGCCUUACAAGCAGAAUGUCAGCGGUUCAAGUCCGUUUACUCUCA